rnacentral:rRNA from 1 species
UGAGGAAUAUUGGUCAAUGGGCGUGAGCCUGAACCAGCCAAGUAGCGUGCAGGAAGACGGCCCUAUGGGUUUUAAACUGCUUUUAUUCGGGGAUAAAGGAGUCCACGUGUGGAUUUUUGCAGGUACCGCAUGAAUACGGACCGGCUAAUUCCGUGCCAGCAGCCGCGGUAAUACGGAAGGUCCGGGCGUUAUCCGGAUUUAUUGGGUUUAAAGGGAGCGUAGGCCGCGUUUUAAGCGUGUUGUGAAAUGUAGACGCCCAACGUCUGCAUCGCAGCGCGAACUGGGACGCUUGAGUACGCGCAACGUUGGCGGAAUUCGUCGUGUAGCGGUGAAAUGCUUAGAUAUGACGAGGAACUCCGAUUGCGAAGGCAGCUGACGGGAGCGGCACUGACGCUUAAGCUCGAAGGUGCGGGUAUCAAACAGG